GCCUUGACUUUGGGAUAACUUCAGGAAACUGGGGCUAAUACCGGAUAGGAGCUCCUGCUGCAUGGUGGGGGUUGGAGAGUUUCGGCGGUUGGGGAUGGACUCGCGGCUUAUCAGCUUGUUGGUGGGGUAGUGGCUUACCAAGGCUUUGACGGGUAGCCGGCCUGAGAGGGUGACCGGCCACAUUGGGACUGAGAUACGGCCCAG
rnacentral:rRNA from 1 species